UCUGGUGACGAUGGCGUAGAGGUAACACUCCUAUCCAUUCCGAACAGGACAGUUAAGGUCUACAGCGCUAAUGGUACUGCACGGGAGACUGUGUGGAAGAGGAAGACGUUGCCAGAU
rfam:Clostridium saccharoperbutylacetonicum N1-4(HMT), complete genome.